GAGCAGACGAUCGCGGCCAUGGCGUACUGCGCCAUGGGUGAGGAAAGUCCGGGCUUCACAGGGCAGGAUGCCGGCUAACGGCCGGCGGAGGCAACUCCCGGGAAAGUGCAGCAGAAAACAGACCGCCGCGAAAGCGGUAAGGGUGAAAUGGCGGUGUAAGAGACCACCGUUUUCUCAGUAAUGAGAAAAGCCGUGUAAACCCCAUCCGAAGCAAGACCAAGAACUCCGGCACUGCCGGAGGUGAGGACCACGAACCGGCCCGGUUCAUCCUCAGGUAGGUCGCUUGAUGCUGCCGGCAACGGCAGUACUAGAAAGAUGAUCGUCCAACGACAGAACCCGGCUUAUCGCUCUGCUUCU
rnacentral:RNase_P_RNA from 1 species